rnacentral:lncRNA from 1 species
AAUUUGCUUACUCGGAUGCUCAGUGACAGACAGCUAAUGUAACUGCUAACUUAACAGCUUUCUAGUAUGUGGUUUAAAAGCUUAUGCAAUUUCAACAAAUGGUGUUGGGAUAACCAGAUAUCUACUCAAAAAAGAAUAAAGUGAGACACCACCUCAUACCAUAUACAAAAAUUAAUCCAAAACAGAUCCUAGACCUAAAGUUAAAAGCUAAAAGUAUAAAACUCUUAGAAGAAAACAUAAAUGUAAACCUUUGUGACCUUGGGAUAGGCAGUGUUUUCUUGGAUAUGACUCCAAAAGAAUAAGCAACAAAAAUAAAAAUAGACAAAUUGGACUACCUCAAAAUUAAAGAUUUUUGUGCUUCAAAAGAAACCAACAAAAAAGUAAAAUGACAGCCCAGAGAAUGGGAGAAAAUAUUAGCAAAUUAUGUAUCUGACAAAUAACUUAUAUCCAGAAUAUAUUAAGAACUCUUACAACUCAAUAAUAAAAGGACAAAUAAUACAAUUAAAAGUGGACAAAAGAUGUGAAUGAACAUUUCUCCAAGGAAGAUACACAAAUGGCCAAUAAGCACAUGAAAAGAUGAUUGCCAUCAUUAGGGGAAGAUGGGAAUGUUUGAAAGUUAGAUAGUGGUGAUGGUUGCACAACUCUGAGAAUACACUAAAAAUUACUCAACUGUAUACUAUGAAUGGGUGAAUUUUGUGGUAUGUAAAUUAUACCUAAAGAAAGCUAUUUUUUUUUUAAAAAAAUGGAUGAUUCAAUUAAAUAGGAAUCAGAGCUGCAUAGCAAAAUAUCACUGUUGGUUCACUGAAGUUGUGCUACAUAAUAGGGUUAUUCAGAGUAGCAAGAAACCCUCUCCUGAGGGCUGUAGAUUAUACAAAAGCAAUAGAAUUCUUCCCUUUAGGGCCAAUUCUCUUCAUAGGCAGGGGAAGAGCCAGGGGUCUAAGAGGUGUUCAAAAGCCCAUUUGCUCAAAUUUUCUCUUCAGUUUGUUGCUUCAGGGACUGAAAUGCCUUGUGUA